AGGAUUAGUUAAAAUAUAACACUAGAAUGUCAAACUGGAAUUACUAGCAAAUAUAGUAUCCUUUACAUCC
rnacentral:tRNA from 1 species